CCUACGGGAGGCAGCAGUGGGGAAUAUUGGGCAAUGGGCGCAAGCCUGACCCAGCAACGCCGCGUGAAGGAAGAAGGCUUUCGGGUUGUAAACUUCUUUUCUGAGGGACGAAGCCAGUGACGGUACCUGAGGAGUAAGCCACGGCUAACUACGUGCCAACAGCCGCGGUAAUACGUAGGUGGCAAGCGUUAUCCGGAUUUACUGGGUGUAAAGGGCGUGUAGGCGGGAAUGUAAGUCAGAUGUGAAAUCCAUGGGCUCAACCUCUGGGCUGCAGUUGAAACUGUAGUUCUAGAGUACUGGAGAGGUAGGCGGAAUGCCUAGUGUAGCGGUGAAAUGCGUAGAUAUUAGGAGGAACACCAGUGGCGAAGGCGGUCUGCUGGACAGCAACUGACGCUGAGGCGCGAAAGCGUGGGGAGCAAACAGGAUUAGAUACCCGAGUAGUC
rnacentral:rRNA from 1 species